GAAAAGAACCCCGGCGAGGGGAGUGAAAAAGAACCUGAAACCGUGUACGUACAAGCAGUGGGAGCACAGAGCAAUCUGUGUGACUGCGUACCUUUUGUAUAAUGGGUCAGCGACUUAUAUUCUGUAGCAAGGUUAACCGAAUAGGGGAGCCGAAGGGAAACCGAGUCUUAACUGGGCGUUAAGUUGCAGGGUAUAGACCCGAAACCCGGUGAUCUAGCCAUGGGCAGGUUGAAGGUUGGGUAACACUAACUGGAGGACCGAACCGACUAAUGUUGAAAAAUUAGCGGAUGACUUGUGGCUGGGGGUGAAAGGCCAAUCAAACCGGGAGAUAGCUGGUUCUCCCCGAAAGCUAUUUAGGUAGCGCCUCGUGAAUUCAUCUCCGGGGGUAGAGCACUGUUUCGGCAAGGGGGUCAUCCCGACUUACCAACCCGAUGCAAACUGCGAAUACCGGAGAAUGUUAUCACGGGAGACACACGGCGGGUGCUAACGUCCGUCGUGAAGAGGGAAACAACCCAGACCGCCAGCUAAGGUCCCAAAGUCAUGGUUAAGUGGGAAACGAUGUGGGAAGGCCCAGACAGCCAGGAUGUUGGCUUAGAAGCAGCCAUCAUUUAAAGAAAGCGUAAUAGCUCACUGGUCGAGUCGGCCUGCGCGGAAGAUGUAACGGGGCUAAACCAUG
rnacentral:rRNA from 1 species